UGGGUCUCAUGUUAGAAGUGAUCUCGAAUAAGAUUUUUAGCCAAAUGGAGUUCAGUUGAUGGUUAAGCACAUCUGGAAAUGCAAGCAGAGGAAAUCUGUCAGCAUGAUAGCUCUAAAGGGCAGCUGACUUCUUUUUGCUUGUCUGUGAUAUUGGGGGCAGGAAAUUACCAGCGUCCAUCUUGGAGAUUGGAUAAAGUGACAAGAAGACAAUCAGACUUGUGCUGUAUCUUAUGGGGAGAGAAGAAAACUAAAGAUCCAGUUAUACACUCCAAAAAAGCAGCAGCUUCAGACAAAACGGUAUGACUUGAGAAAAUGAGAAAUCAAGAUACUGAAAGGAAACUACAGUAAUUUGGAUGACCAGAAUUUGUUUGAUAUCAUAUGGUGCUGAAGUUUAGUCUAGGAAUAUUUUAAUAAGGAUGUUAAUUUACAUAUAGUUUAGAUUAAUGAAUUAGGGAUGAUUUAGUAAUAGGUUAAGGAGACAUUCCAUACAAGAAGAUGGAAUGUUUAUGGCAAAGGUGGAUGGAAAAGGUGAAUACUGAGCACUCUUAGUUCUAGAUUAGAGUGUGGAAUAGAAUGUUAUAAGAUGAAAAGAAAUGAUUGCUCUAGUGUCAGCAUAUAGAAAGUUGCUAAGCGUACUAUUGGGUUAAAAUUGGAUAUGAAAGUUGCUCAUAAAUUUUCAGCAGAAUCAUGCUUUUUAAUAUAAAAUCAUGGUGAAGGUGGAAAUCUGCUGAGUGUGAAAGGCUGCAGAGGAAAUUAGUAUAAGACAAAGGAAAUGUUCUAUCAGUUCAGUUCAGUUCAGUCGCUCAGUCGUGUCCGACUCUUUGCAACCCCAUGAAUUGCAGCACGCCGGGCCUCCCUGUCCAUCACCAACAGGCAAAACUAGAAAAGUAUCUCACUCUCCAAGGAAUCCCCAAAAGCAAUUAGAAUAAGUCAGUUAAUGAAGAAACUAUUGAAAGCUAGUGAUAAAAAAUGCAUUUGAUAUAAAGG
rnacentral:lncRNA from 1 species